rfam:Asian citrus Psyllid, Diaphorina citri - Florida Strain, whole genome shotgun sequence.
CAUAUCGUCCAGAAAUUGAAGAUAACACAGUUGCCCACGGAUCACUGAAGUUAAGCAACGUUGCGCGUGGUUAGUUCCUAGAUGGGUGACCAUCUGGGGAAUCGCGUGCUGCUGGGU